rnacentral:rRNA from 1 species
UACGGAGGGUGCAAGCGUUAUCCGGAAUUACUGGGUUUAAAGGGUGCGUAGGCUGGAUAUUAAGUCAGUGGUGAAAUCCUAUCGCUUAACGAUAGCAUUGCCAUUGAUACUGAUAAUCUUGAAUUAGGUUGAGGUUAGCGGAAUGUGACAUGUAGCGGUGAAAUGCAUAGAUAUGUCAUGGAACACCAAAUGCGAAGGCAGCUAGCUAGGCCUAAAUUGACGCUGAGGCACGAAAGCGUGGGGAGCAAAC